UUAACAUUACAGUGUGGGCAUUCUGUCUGUAUGUCCUUGAACCUAUUCCAUGCUUCCUUUAAUGUCUCAGCAGGUUGUUGUUGGAAGGUAUCAAGCUUGUGUCUGAUUUA
rfam:Beta vulgaris subsp. vulgaris chromosome 7, whole genome shotgun sequence.